rnacentral:rRNA from 1 species
GAGUGAACGCUGGCGGUAGGCCUAACACAUGCAAGUCGAACGGCAGCACAGUAAGAGCUUGCUCUUACGGGUGGCGAGUGGCGGACGGGUGAGGAAUACAUCGGAAUCUACUUUUUCGUGGGGGAUAACGUAGGGAAACUUACGCUAAUACCGCAUACGACCUACGGGUGGAAGCAGGGGAUCUUCGGACCUUGCGCGAUUGAAUGAGCCGAUGUCGGAUUAGCUAGUUGGCGGGGUAAAGGCCCACCAAGGCGACGAUCCGUAGCUGGUCUGAGAGGAUGAUCAGCCACACUGGAACUGAGACACGGUCCAGACUCCUACGGGAGGCAGCAGUGGGGAAUAUUGGACAAUGGGCGCAAGCCUGAUCCAGCCAUACCGCGUGGGUGAAGAAGGCCUUCGGGUUGUAAAGCCCUUUUGUUGGGAAAGAAAAGCAGCAGGUUAAUACCCCGCUGUUCUGACGGUACCCAAAGAAUAAGCACCGGCUAACUUCGUG